UGGGGAAACAGACGUGCAACCGCCAUUUUGCGCAUUAAUUUACCAGAGGUCGGGUCAGGCUGUCUUAACGCAGGCAGAGGGGUGUGGCAGAUCUCCAACCGCUCGGGGUCCCGUGAUUUCCAUUAAUGAAUUCGCACACUGGCGUUACCACUCAACACACCGACGGUAAUGAAUGUUUUUGAGUGAUACUUCAUGCAGCCUAUUCGGCUUGGACGAUUGGGGACUGCAUAACGUGAUCGCUAUCGCCUCAGUUUGUGGCUGCGUUUUAAAAUACAAGGAACCAACAUGUCCAUUAUAGAAACGUGUUAUUAAGAUAUUAAUAAAACAAGGCAGAGUUCCGGCGUUCCAAUUAAAAGGCCAUGGCUGAUUCAUAUUAGUGUGGCGGGAAUCUUUACAGCCUGGCCGCAAAGACCCCAAUUAACGCUAGUUAAAAAGUUAUCCCUAUACCCAGGGCUCACCUCCCCCAUUCUCCACGAAAUAUGAUCCCCCCCCCGCCCCACCAAGUUCUGGACACGUUCCAGAUUGCCAACUGGGAGUCCUCAAGACGGCCCCGGAGAGCGUUAACAAUGAUUGGUCUCAGCUGAUUUAGAGGCUCGGGUAAGGGAACUUUGAAGCUAACUUGUCGGUAUCAAGGUACCCGCAAUUCCCCCAUGUGAUUGGGUAGAUGCCCUAGCAGUUCUGCACACUUCAGCGUCCAAGAUGACUUGUGGACUGUUUUGUUUGGAUCUCCAUUCCUCAAAACUAUAAAUGCGGCCUUAAUUUUUUUUUUUUUUUAAUUCUUGGCUCUUGGCUGUCUUGGAAAUGCUGACUUUGUAUUUAAGUAUUUAGGUUUUCAGGUCGUAAUAGAAAAAUAAUUACUGUGUUCAUAUUAAAAGCCAAAGCUUUAUUUAUUUAUUUUUAAGAUAUUGUGUCCAGAGCAAAAGUGUAGUGUGUUGAAAGCAUGUGGAAGAAAACCCCGGAUAUACAUAUACUUGUCUUCAAGGACUUAAUUUGCAGGUAGACCCUUUCAUAGUUUGGUAUCUUCACGAUUUGAUAGAAUAUGGGAAAACGUGCUGUUGGUCCAUCCAUAGUUUUUCUCAUUGAAGCUCACUCAUUGCGGGUCAGAGUACCACAUUAAGCAUCUCGGAAGCAUCACUUACCGCCAAGAAGUCUGAGUUUCAUGUAAUUAAGAGUGGAGGCUCCAGAGUCAGGAAGUCUGGGUUGAAACCCUGGCACUACUGCUUACUACUUGUGAGAUCUUGAGGUUAUGUAAUUUCUCUAGUGCUCAGUUUCCCCAUAUCUUGUAAAAUAAGGCAAAUAAUAGAACUUAACCCGCAGAGAGUUAUGUCAUUGGAUUAAAUCAAAUAAUUGUAAAUUGCUUAGCAGAGUAAAUGGCACAGCUUAAGUGCUUAGUAAGGAUGAGCUAUUAUCUUUAUGUAGA
rnacentral:lncRNA from 10 species